CUGGAAGGUGAGAGACUGGAGUUUAUAAUCCCAGAGCGUGGAAGACACAAAGACUAUCACUGUGAAAUUGAAGUGCAAAGGUAUCCAACAUAUGCCUGUCCUACAAAACCUUCUCAGAUGAAAGCGAUCUAGAAGCCAUUCUCGCCGACAUUAAGCAGUAGAAUCCCCCCUUUGGUGAGCCUCCAUGUUUGUGGAACUCUUCCAUGACCCUUGUCAUAUUCUGCAUGAACUAAUGAAGCAGUGGAGAGAGGCCAGAAGAAUUCUUCUCCAUGAACACAUAAGUGAAGAAAAGAGGAGACUACAUUCUCCACAACUAACCCCAGUUAAGUAA
rnacentral:lncRNA from 1 species